rnacentral:rRNA from 1 species
GAUGAACGCUGGCGGCGUGCCUAAUACAUGCAAGUCGAGCGAACAGACGAGGAGCUUGCUCCACUGACGUUAGCGGCGGACGGGUGAGUAACACGUGGAUAACCUACCUAUAAGACUGGGAUCACUUCGGGAGACCGGAGCUAAUACCGGAUAAUAUAUUUAACCGCAUGGUUCAAUAGUGAAAGACGGUUUUGCUGUCACUUAUAGCUGGAUCCGCGCCGCAUGAGCUAGUUGGUAAGGUAACGGCUUACCAAGGCGACGAUGCGUAGCCGACCUGGGAGCGGGUAGGGCGCCACUGGAACUGGAACGCGGUCCAGACACCGAGGGGAGGCCGCGGUAGCGACUCUUCCGAAAAGGGCGAAAUCCUGCCGGAGCAACGCCGCGUGAGUGAUGAAAGUCUUCGGAGCGGAAAACUCUGUUAUUAGUGAAAAACAAAUGUGUAAGUAACUAUGCACGUCUUGACGGUACCUAAACAGAAAGCCACGGCUAACUACGUG